rnacentral:misc_RNA from 1 species
AAGUCGUAACAAGGUUUCCGUAGGUGAACCUGCGGAAGGAUCAUUAUUGAUUUUAGUUAUUUGUGAACGUACUACGAACAAACAAAAAAAUAUUAUAGUCAAAAAAAAAUUAAAUCAAAACUUUUAACAAUGGAUCUCUUGGUUCUG